rnacentral:tRNA from 1 species
UCCCGAGUAGUGUAGGGGUUAACAUACUCCGCUUUCAUUCCUGAAUACAGGAAUAGAUCCGGAGAGCCCCGGGUUCGAUUCCCGGCUCGGGAA